UGGGGAAUAUUGCACAAUGGGCGCAAGCCUGAUGCAGCCAUGCCGCGUGUGUGAAGAAGGCCUUCGGGUUGUAAAGCACUUUCAGCGGGGAGGAAGGCGAUAAGGUUAAUAACCUUGUCGAUUGACGUUACCCGCAGAAGAAGCACCGGCUAACUCCGUGCCAGCAGCCGCGGUAAUACGGAGGGUGCAAGCGUUAAUCGGAAUUACUGGGCGUAAAGCGCACGCAGGCGGUUGAUUGAGUCAGAUGUGAAAUCCCCGGGCUUAACCCGGGAAUUGCAUCUGAUACUGGUCAGCUAGAGUCUUGUAGAGGGGGGUAGAGUUCCAUGUGUAGCGGUGAAAUGCGUAGAGAUGUGGAGGAAUACCGGUGGCGAAGGCGGCCCCCUGGACAAAGACUGACGCUCAGGUGCGAAAGCGUGGGGAGCAAACAGG
rnacentral:rRNA from 1 species